AUUAUUACUAAAAUAAUUAAUUUAAAUUUAAUUAAAAUAUAAUAAUUAUAAAUAUAUUUAAGUUUUUCAUUUGAUUAUAAUUAGAAUUUAUAGUUAUUGAAAAUAAAAAUUAGAUUUAUCAUCUGUUAUGGCCCGAUAGCUAUGUAUAAUUAGGUAUGAGCUAAUUAGAUGAAUAAGCCACAGUACAUAUGACUGUGUUAUCCAGAGUGUAAUUCAAUACUUUCUACUAAUAAAGUAUUGGUUUAGCCUUUUCUUUUCCCAAUAUUUCUUUUUCAUAUUAUUUUGUUCUAUUUUAGAUUCUGCGUUACAUAAUCGGUAUUAGCAUAAUUACCGGUUCCAAUAAUUAUUAUCAGAGAAAUUCACAUUUCCAACAAUUAUAUUAUUGAUAUAGCAUUACCAGCUACUUAGAUUGUACUUUUUGUGUUUGCUCGUUUCAUCAUAAUUAUUAAAAAAAUAUUCUUAUUUUACUUUUCUUUAUAAUAAAGAGAAGUAAUAUUUUGCUGGUUAUUAAUAAUAUGGUGUAAGUAAUACAUAACAGACUUCCAACUUCCAACUGUUUGUUUAAAGUGAAAAUAAUUUUUAUUUUAAAUAAAAAAUAUUUUUUUAAUAAUUGAUAGAAAAAUAGUGGCCUUGAAAUAUUAUUUUUUAUUAUUAUUUUAUUAAAAAUUAUUU
rnacentral:lncRNA from 1 species